GCUGAUGUGAUAAGCUCUUACACGAAUGAAAAAUCAGUUAAUGCAAAAUACAGCAGCUUAAAGCAGAAAGGGGAGAGACGGACUGCAGAGCUGGGGGCAACAAUACCAGAUUGUUACCUGACACUGAUCUGCCUGAGUAGAAAUGUGAACUUCGACUCCAGUGUACAUUCUCUCAAAGGCCAAAGAAAUGUAGAUAAAGAGACAGAAGAGCAGCAAGACAUCCUGAGGAUACACUGGAAGACUGAGGUGAUGCCCUGAAAGCUAUUUCUCUUGGCUGUGGAAGCCCGAUUGCCAUUUCUCUCUGUUUUGGGCUUUAGCUGCAAUACAGAAUGUUUCUGGCAUCUGCUUUCCUCUCCAUUCCUAAUCAGCCUGGUACUGCCCCUUGUGAUGACUGCUCAUGUUCUGCCUUGACAACCCACUGCUGCUGUAGUUUCUGAAACUCUGUGAUAUAAAUGUCUGUAUUGGAGCCAUCUCCCAAAAGUGAAAA